rnacentral:rRNA from 1 species
AACGCUGGCGGCGUGCUUAACACAUGCAAGUCGAACGAGAAAGCAUCUUCGGAUGUGAGUAGAGUGGCGCACGGGUGAGUAACACGUAGGUAACCUACCCAUUGAUGGGGGAUAACCAGGAGAAAUUCUGGCUAAUACCGCAUAAGUUGGUAACAAGAAAGGAUGCUCCGGCAUUCGUCGAUGGAUGGGCCUGCGGAACAUUAGAUUGAUGGUGGGGUAAUGGCCUACCAUGUCUACGAUGUUUAGCUGGUCUGAGAGGAUGAUCAGCCACACUGGAACUGAGACACGGUCCAGACUCCUACGGGAGGCAGCAGUGGGGAAUAUUGCGCAAUGGGGGAAACCCUGACGCAGCAACGCCGCGUGAGUGAGGAAGGCCUUCGGGUUGUAAAGCUCUGUCAGAUGGGAAGAACGGUUAUUGGUCUAAUAGGCCUUUAAUUUGACGGUACCAUCAGAGGAAGCACCGGCUAACUUCGUGCCAGCAGCCGCGGUAAUACGAAGGGUGCAAGCGUUAUUCGGAUUUACUGGGCGUAAAGCGCGCGCAGGCGGAUUGGUAAGUCAGAUGUGAAAUCUCGGGGCUCAACCCCGAAACUGCGUCUGAAACUACUAAUCUAGAGUUUUGGAGGGGGAAGUGGAAUUUCGCAUGUAGGGGUAAAAUCCGUAGAGAUGCGAAGGAACACCAGAGGCGAAGGCGACUUCCUGGCCCAAUAACUGACGCUGAGGGCGCGAAAGCGUGGGGAGCAAACAGGAUUAGAUACCCUGGUAGUCCACGCCGUAAACGAUGUGCACUAGAUUUGGGAGG